CUGCAGUCGGGCCAGCAGCCGCGGGAUGACGUAGGGGUGGAGCGGUUUCCGGAGUCAGUGAGAGUUGAUAUCUCGUAGGCGGGUCAGUAAGUCGGUGGUGCAAGCGCCGAGCUCAACUCGGAGAGUCCACCCGAGACUGCUUGGACUAGAAGCCAGGAAGGGAGUGUGGAACUCCUGGUGUAGCGGGGAAAUGCGCAGAGAUCAGGAAGAACACCAGCGGCGAAGGCGGCACUCUGGGCUGGUAUUGACGCUGAGGAGCGAAAGUGUGGGUAGCAAACAGGAUUAGAUACCCCUGUAGUC
rnacentral:rRNA from 1 species